rnacentral:rRNA from 1 species
CCAGUACCGUGAGGGAAAGGCGAAAAGAACCCCGGCGAGGGGAGUGAAAAAGAACCUGAAACCGUGUACGUACAAGCAGUGGGAGCCCCACCACCAAAGCGUUUCGCUUUGUGUGGUGCACAAAGAAGCGUAACGACAGCACUGAAUGACGGUUAACGGAGCGCAAGCGACGUUCAACAUACAAAGUCAAGCAGUGGAGCGCUUUGGGGUGGGGUGACUGCGUACCUUUUGUAUAAUGGGUCAGCGACUUAUAUUCUGUAGCAAGGUUAACCGAAUAGGGGAGCCGGAGGGAAACCGAGUCUUAACCGGGCGUUAAGUUGCAGGGUAUAGACCCGAAACCCGGUGAUCUAGCCAUGGGCAGGUUGAAGGUUGGGUAACACUAACUGGAGGACCGAACCGACUAAUGUUGAAAAAUUAGCGGAUGACCUGUGGCUGGGGGUGAAAGGCCAAUCAAACCGGGAGAUAGCUGGUUCUCCCCGAAAGCUAUUUAGGUAGCGCCUCGUGAAUUCAUCUCCGGGGGUAGAGCACUGUUUCGGCUAGGGGGCCAUCCCGGCUUACCAACCCGAUGCAAACUGCGAAUACCGGAGAAUGUUAUCACGGGAGACACACGGCGGGUGCUAACGUCCGUCGUGAAGAGGGAAACAACCCAGACCGCCAGCUAAGGUCCCAAAGUCAUGGUUAAGUGGGAAACGAUGUGGGAAGGCCCAGACAGCCAGGAUGUUGGCUUAGAAGCAGCCAUCAUUUAAAGAAAGCGUAAUAGCUCACUGGUCGAGUCGGCCUGCGCGGAAGAUGUAACGGGGCUAAACCAUGCACCGAAGCUGCGGCAGCGACGCUUAUGCGUUGUUGGGUAGGGGAGCGUUCUGUAAGCCUGUGAAGGUGGCCUGUGAGGGUUGCUGGAGGUAUCAGAAGUGCGAAUGCUGACAUAAGUAACGAUAAAGCGGGUGAAAAGCCCGCUCGCCGGAAGACCAAGGGUUCCUGUCCAACGUUAAUCGGGGCAGGGUGAGUCGACCCCUAAGGCGAGGCCGAAAGGCGUAGUCGAUGGGAAACGGGUUAAUAUUCCCGUACUUGGUGUUACUGCGAAGGGGGGACGGAGAAGGCUAUGUUGGCCGGGCGACGGUUGUCCCGGUUUAAGCGUGUAGGUGUGUGUUCCAGGUAAAUCCGGUU